GCACUUCUACUCCAGUUUAUUGUACUGAACUUCAGCCAAGCAAGGCCCCUAAACCAGGCCAGAUACAGAGGCCAACACCAAGGCCGUCUCUGCCAUGGCGGGUAUAAAAUCGAAACAGUAAAAAUUCAUUCAAGCCUGGGGUGGUGGCACACACCUGUAAUCUCAGAGCUCUGGAGGCAGAGGCAGGAGGAUCGCCUUGAGUUCAAGGCCAGCCUGGGCUACAUAGCGAGACGCUGUCUCAGAAAACAAAAAACAAACAAAAAAACAGGGCAAAAAGAUAAGAUAUUAGAUUUAAGAGGGGCUUUAAUGCAGGGCAGACAGGGAAGGGGUUUGGAGUGGAGACUUCAGGAAGGAAGACAGGCAGUCAGUGAGGUUUGUGACACACCCAAAGUUCCAAAUGGUGAUGAAAGAACAAUGGAUUUUGUGCAAGAAGUGGCUUCGUCCAAUUGUCCAAUUUUCAUCUUGUUUGUUGGUUUGUUUGUUUGAGACAGGGUCUCUCCAGGUAUCUCAGGCUGUCCUCGAACUCAUGGCGAUCCUCCUGCCUCAGCCUCUGGAAUGCUGGGAUUACAGGUGUGCCCCUCCACACCCAGCGCAAUUUUGAUCUUUAACAGACUGUUCUGGUCACUGACAAGGGCCUGAGCCAGGAGUCGAGCAGGCAGGGUGUGGUGAGGUGGAGAGAAUCGGUGGAUGGUGACUUGCUGGGAGACAGGGCCGACAGGACUGGCUGAGGGCUGAGCCAUGGACCCUGGGGGACAGCAGAGUUGGGGACACCUGACAGAGGAACUGGAGGGGAUUCAGCGGAGGACGCCAAGCGCUGGGGUCGGGACUCUCUUCGCUUCAUCUCACGACAGCGCAGGGCAGACCCGGGUGGAACACCGGACGAGGGACUGUAUCCUGGGGACAGAGCCACGGGAGAGGCCGAAGAGAAGACCCGAGGUCUUCCUGGUUGCCACGGAUUGAGCAUCUUUCCUCUGCCAUUUCCUCCUACCACGCCACGCCUGCCUUAGAAACAGCCACCUAUGGACUGAAUCCAUAAAAUGUGAACCAGAAC
rnacentral:lncRNA from 1 species